GUACGGGGGAGCAAGCGUUGUUCGGAUUUACUGGGCGUAAAGGGCGCGUAGGCGGUCGUGACAAGUCACUUGUGAAAUCUCCGGGCUUAACUCGGAACGGUCAAGUGAUACUGUCGGACUAGAGUACAGAAGGGGCAACUGGAAUUCUCGGUGUAGCGGUGAAAUGCGUAGAUAAUCGAGAGGAACACCUGCGGCGAAGGCGGGUUGCUGGGCUGAUACUGACGCUGAGGCGCGAAAGCCAGGGGAGCGAACGGG
rnacentral:rRNA from 1 species